UACGGAGGGUGCAAGCGUUAUCCGGAUUCACUGGGUUUAAAGGGUGCGUAGGUGGGCAGGUAAGUCAGUGGUGAAAUCUCUGGGCUUAACCCGGAAACUGCCGUUGAUACUAUCUGUCUUGAAUGUAGUGGAGGUGAGCGGAAUAUGUCAUGUAGCGGUGAAAUGUGUAGAGAUCGGGAGGAACACCGGUGGCGAAGGCGGGUCUCUGGGCAAUUCCUGACGCUGAGGCGCGAAAGCGUGGGGAGCAAACGGG
rnacentral:rRNA from 1 species